GGGCAAUUGGUCUAGGGAUAUGAUUUUCGCUUCGCAUUGCAGAUGCGUCAUGUGAAAGGUCACCGGUUCGAAUCCGGUAUUGUCCA